GAUGAACGCUGGCGGCGUGCCUAAUACAUGCAAGUCGAGCGAACGGACGAGAAGCUUGCUUCUUUUAUGUUAGCGGCGGACGGGUGAGUAACACGUGGAUAACCUACCUAUAAGACUGGGAUAACUUCGGGAAACCGGAGCUAAUACCGGAUAAUAUUUUGAACCGCAUGGUUCAAAAGUGAAAGACGGUCUUGCUGUCACUUAUAGAUGGAUCCGCGCUGCAUUAGCUAGUUGGUAAGGUAACGGCUUACCAAGGCAACGAUGCAUAGCCGACCUGAGAGGGUGAUCGGCCACACUGGAACUGAGACACGGUCCAGACUCCUACGGGAGGCAGCAGUAGGGAAUCUUCCGCAAUGGGCGAAAGCCUGACGGAGCAACGCCGCGUGAGUGAUGAAGGUCUUCGGAUCGUAAAACUCUGUUAUUAGGGAAGAACAUAUGUGUAAGUAACUGUGCACAUCUUGACGGUACCUAAUCAGAAAGCCCCGGCUAACUACGUG
rnacentral:rRNA from 1 species